UGCGUAUUCGGUAACGUUUAUAAUAGGGCGAAGGCAGCACUCUGCCAAGGCUGUGCUCCCGUCUCACAGCCGGGGGCACUGAGGCGAGGGGCGCCCCGGCCCGCGCGCAGCCGCCCGGGCCCUCGGCUCGAGCUCCGCAGACAGGAGCGGCCUCGCCUCCCCCGCGCCGCGCGCCUGGGCCAGCCUGCGCCGGGGAGGGCCGGGGCCGGGGCCGGGGCCGUCGCCGCCCGUGACCCACAGCGUGAGCACGACGAGCAGCGCCCCGGCGCCCAGCGCCCCCACGAAGCCGGUGAGGAGGCCGAGCGCCAGCGGCCCGACCCAGCCGGCCGGGCUGCGUUCGUAGGGACCCUGGGGCAGACGCUCCACGAUCAGCUGCAGCGCGUCCCAGUCCGGCUCCGGCAGCCAGGCGCGGCGUGGGCGCGGGGCCAGGGGCGCGGCGGCGGGGCGGGGGCCGGGGCCGGGGCCGGGGGCGGGGCCGGGGCCGGGGGCGGGGCCGGGGCCGGGGGCGGGGCCGGGGGCGGGGCCGGGGGCGGGGCCGGGGCCGGGGGCGGGGCCGGCGGCGGGCGGCCGCAUGUAGCGCUGGCCGGACUUGCGCAGCUGCAGCGUCGCCUGCUGGUGGAGGUUCUUGCCCAGCUCCCGGGCCACGUCGGGGCGGCCGCUGCGCCGCAGGGCCCGGACCACGCGGUCCCAAGACAGGGUCGAGGCCUCCGCCGCCAGCCAGGCCGCCAGCUUCUCCCGACAGCCGUCCGACACCUCCGCGGGCUCGGCCGCCGCCCGCCGCCGCCGCCACAGCCGGCCCGGCGGCACGGACGUGGACUCCGGCGGCUCGGCGCGGGCCAGCCGGUCCUCAGAGAGCCGGGCCAGCUCGGCCUCGACGUCCGGCUCCGGCGCCUUCAGGAGCGACUGGAAAUGGCCGCACUCCUCCGGGGUCAGCAGCUCGGCCAGACGGACGGCCGCGUGGGGGCCCAUGGCGUCCAGGGCCCCCGCCGGGACCAGCGCCCAGCCCCAGAGCGCCAGCGCCAGGGCCUGAGCCCGAGCCGCCAUGGCCACCACCGACUGUGACCACGCCGUACCUACUGUGGUGGGAGGGGCUCCGAAC
rnacentral:lncRNA from 1 species